UACGUAGGGGGCAAGCGUUGUCCGGAGUUACUGGGCGUAAAGCGCACGCAGGCGGUCUCUUAAGUUUGGAGUGACAGUUGGUGGCUUAACUGCCAAAGUGCUUCGAAAACUGAGAGACUUGAGGGCUUCAGAGGGACACGGAAUUCCGGGUGGAGUGGUGAAAUGCGUAGAGAUCCGGAGGAACACCAAAGGCGAAGGCAGUGUCCUGGGGAGUACCUGACGCUCAGGUGCGAAGCCAGGGAGCGAACGGG
rnacentral:rRNA from 1 species